rnacentral:rRNA from 1 species
CCUACGGGAGACUGCAGUAGGGAAUUUUGCGCAAUGGGCGAAAGCCUGACGCAGCAACGCCGCGUGAUCGAGACGCCAUUCGGGGUGUAAAGAUCUGACAGUGGGGACGAAACUUGACGGUACCACAAGAGGAAGAGACGGCUAACUCGGUGCCAGCAGCCGCGGUAAUACAGAGGUGUCAAGCGUUGUUCGGAAUCACUGGGCGGAAAGCGUGCGUAGGCUGCUUCGUAAGUCGUGUGUGAAAGGCGCGGGCUCAACCCGGGGACGGCGCAUGAUACUGCGAGACUAGAGUAAUGGAGGGGGAAGCGGAAGUCUCGGUGUAGCAGUGAAAUGCGUAGAGAUCGAGAGGAACACUCGUGGCGAAGGCGGGUGCCUGGACAUUAACUGACGCUGAGGCACGAAGGCCAGGGGAGCGAAAGGGAUUAGAUACCCGAGUAGUC